rnacentral:rRNA from 1 species
AUUGAACGCUGGCGGCAGGCCUAACACAUGCAAGUCGAAGUAGGGGCGGACGGGUGAGUAAUGACUGGGAAACUGCCUGAUGGAUGGGGAUAACUACUGGAAACGGUAGCUAAUACCGCAUACCCACAGAUGUGCCCAGAUGGGUUGAGCUGGAUGGUGGGGUAACGGCUCACCAAGGCGACGAUCCCUAGCUGGUAUGAGAGGAUGACCAGCCACACUGGAACUGAGACACGGGCCUGACUCCUAGGGUAGUCAGCAGUGGGGAAUAUUGGACAAUGGGCGCAAGCCUGAUGCAGCCAUGCCGAGGGUAUGAAGAAGGCCUUAGGGUUGUAAAGUACUUGCAGCGGGGAGGCGUUACCCGCAGAAGAAGCACCGGCUAACUCCGUGCCAGCAGCCGCGGUAAUUC